AGUGAACGCUGGCGGUAGGCCUAACACAUGCAAGUCGAACGGCAGCACAGUAAGAGCUUGCUCUUACGGGUGGCGAGUGGCGGACGAGUGAGGAAUACAUCGGAAUCUACUUUUUCGUGGGGGAUAACGUAGGGAAACUUACGCUAAUACCGCAUACGACCUACGGGUGAAAGCAGGGGAUCUUCGGACCUUGCGCGAUUGAAUGAGCCGAUGUCGGAUUAGCUAGUUGGCGGGGUAAAGGCCCACCAAGGCGACGAUCCGUAGCUGGUCUGAGAGGAUGAUCAGCCACACUGGAACUGAGACACGGUCCAGACUCCUACGGGAGGCAGCAGUGGGGAAUAUUGGACAAUGGGCGCAAGCCUGAUCCAGCCAUACCGCGUGGGUGCAGAAGGCCUUCGGGUUGUAAAGCCCUUUUGUUGGGAAAGAAAAGCAGCAGGUUAAUACCCCGCUGUUCUGACGGUACCCAAAGAAUAAGCACCGGCUAACUUCGUG
rnacentral:rRNA from 1 species